AUUGAACGCUGGCGGCAUGCCUUACACAUGCAAGUCGAACGGCAGCACGGGUGCUUGCACCUGGUGGCGAGUGGCGAACGGGUGAGUAAUACAUCGGAACGUACCUUAUCGUGGGGGAUAACGCAGCGAAAGCUGUGCUAAUACCGCAUACGCCCUGAGGGGGAAAGCGGGGGAUCGCAAGACCUCGCGCGAUUAGAGCGGCCGAUGCCUGAUUAGCUUGUUGGUGGGGUAAAAGCCCACCAAGGCGACGAUCAGUAGCUGGUCUGAGAGGACGAUCAGCCACACUGGGACUGGGACACGGCCCAGACUCCUACGGGAGGCAGCAGUGAGGAAUUUUGGACAAUGGGGGCAACCCUGAUCCAGCAAUGCCGCGUGAGUGAAGAAGGCCUUCGGGUUGUAAAGCUCUUUUGUCAGGGAAGAAACACCGGCUCUAACACAGUCCGGGAAUGACGGUACCUGAAGAAUAAGCACCGGCUAACUACGUGCCAGCAGCCGCCGUAA
rnacentral:rRNA from 1 species